AGUCCCAGUCAUUACAUUUCACUUUUUCAAGUUUUUUGAAAACAUUAAGCCUUUCAACUGUAAAAUAAAACUGUAAAUUUUUGAAUGUAUCAUCACAUACGAACACAGAAGGACCUCUGGAUUAUUAAAUGUAGAAUUUUCUUGG